rnacentral:rRNA from 1 species
CAGCAGCCGCGGUAAUACAGAGGAUGCAAGCGUUAUCCGGAAUGAUUGGGCGUAAAGCGUCUGUAGGUGGCUUUUCAAGUCCGCCGUCAAAUCCCAGGGCUCAACCCUGGACAGGCGGUGGAAACUACCAAGCUGGAGUACGGUAGGGGCAGAGGGAAUUUCCAGUGGAGCGGUGAAAUGCGUUGAGAUCGAAAAGAACACCAACGGCGAAAGCACUCUGCUGGGCCGACACUAACACUGAGAGACGAAAGCUAGGGGAGCAAAUGGGAUUAGAUACCCGCGUAGUCCCUGUCUCUUAUAC